CCUACGGGUGGCAGCAGUGAGGAAUAUUGGUCAAUGGGCGCGAGCCUGAACCAGCCAAGUAGCGUGAGGGAUGACUGCCCUACGGGUUGUAAACUUCUUUUAUCAAGGAAUAAAGUGAGGCACGUGUGCCUUUUUGUAUGUACUUUAUGAAUAAGGAUCGGCUAACUCCGUGCCAGCAGCCGCGGUAAUACGGAGGAUCCGAGCGUUAUCCGGAUUUAUUGGGUUUAAAGGGAGCGUAGGUGGGUUGUUAAGUCAGUUGUGAAAGUUUGCGGCUCAACCGUAAAAUUGCAAUUGAUACUGGCAGGCUUGAGUACAGGUGAGGUAGGCGGAAUUCGUGGUGUAGCGGUGAAAUGCUUAGAUAUCACGAAGAACUCCGAUUGCGAAGGCAGCUUACUAAAGCGCCACUGACAUUGAGGCUCGAAAGUGUGGGUAUCGAACAGGAUUAGAUACCCCUGUAGUC
rnacentral:rRNA from 1 species